GUGUUAUUUUGUUUCUACUUGAGGAUACUAAAACACUGUCAUAUACCACAUUUCAUAGUUACUCUUUCUUUUAGACUACAAACGAGAAUUGGACUCCAUGCAUAUUAAAUGAAGCAGAAAAAAUUAUAUACAAGCUAAUCCGACUGGAUAGUCUCAGUGCUUACUGGAAUGUGAACUGCCGCCUGUCCUACCAGGGGUCCCGAGAACAGAUCUUGGAUCAACUUAAAAAUGAAAUUCUUACCAAGUAGACAGAGACCUCCAAACCAUCAAUACAUUUUCCAGCCAAUAUCAGCCUCUGCAAAACUCUACAUGAAUCCUCAUGCAGAAGCAGAACUCAAAACUCCCAAAUUAGAUUGGAGCAUAGAAGUGCAGAAUAUUGCCAUUGAGCUGACCAAGCCCCAGGUGAGAUGCAAGGGCACGUUAGUAGUUUUCAAUCUAGGUCGCUUUUGUCUUUUGUGAUGAUUCUUUU
rnacentral:lncRNA from 1 species